GUUUCUGCAGGGUGUGGUCCCUGAAAGUGGGAGCUGCUCCAGGGAGGACAGGGCCUCGAGGAAGAGCUAGGAAGGAAGCAGAGGCCGGAAGCAGGAAGGCCUGGCUGCUGCUGUGCCUGCCACUGCUGCAGCCCAGUGUCCUGGGGUGACCGUGGGUGGCUGUGGACAGGCUGCAGCCUCUCUGGCUAUCUCUGACCUCUUUAGGAACAGUUCGUAGAAUCCCCAGGAAAACUCAGUUCUGAGCAUGCACCGGCACACACCCGGAGUUUCCUGUGUUUACAACUCUAGAGGUAAUUUUCCAAUGCCAAAGGAGAAAGCACCGAAGCCCACUUGGACUGGGACCGCACCUCUACCCUCGGAGGCUGGCGACCUCCCACAUCUUCUUUGACCCCAGUUUCUGCUUCUUUAAAAUGGGCCCAGGCAGCAUCCACUCUCCAGGAUGAUGAGGGUGACUGGACUUGCAGAUGGGUGGAGGAGUCAGGGCCGUUCACAGCCAUCUGACCAUCCCCCAGCUGGGGAGUCUGUGGGUAAAGAAUGGACUGAGUGGUCUUCCAUUGCAUGUCAUCAACCUCAUUCCAGCCAGCUUGGUGAGUUUUACCAGAGACUUGAAUGAAGACACAAAAGAUGUGUCCAGCCAAACCUCAGAAGCACACAAUGUUUUGACAUAGCUGAUUUAUGAUCCAAAACUCUCUUCCCAGGUGGAAUUGCUAGCCCAAGAUCAACACUCAGAAAUUUAAUGGUAAUCAAUGUAAAGUCAGAUCAGAAAAAUCAAUCACUCCAGGAACAAGCCCAGGGCAGAGCAGUGCCUUGGCAGGACUCCACUGGAGAUUAUCUGGUUAUUUGCAUUUGACCUCUGAGGUCAAUGUAAGCAUAACUUGCUGAGGCCUGGAGAGGGGUCGUCUCCCAUCCAGGUUCAGCCCUGGCCAGAGGGAUCUGGACCCCAUACUUAUGGCACAGGACAGCAAGGCCUCUUGACCUCCUGUGGGCAUCUUGAGGAAGGAGGAAGAGGACGAGAGGAUGAGGUUGAGGAGAGGCAAGUAGCGUGGCCGUGGCUGAGCUAAGCCAGCAGAACCAAUUCCAGGCAAGAGGCGGACUGAUUUAUGGCACCCAAGCCUUCUUCUGCCUCUGUGCAGACAAGGCUGACUUCCAUGGGAACUUCUCUAUAGUGACAGAGUCCCUGGUCAGGCAAGUGGGAAGGUGAUCAGAAGAGAGGGACUCCCUUUGUGUUACCCCCUUUAUGUUGUUGGUGUGUACACACAUGUGGAGAGCUUUGGGUGCCGAUUCUAGGAAAUUGGAAAGAAUAUUUAACACGGGACAAGGACAAGGACAAGGAAAUAAGCUCAAGAAAAAUACAGCCGAAGAAUGCAUCCUUGUAUCCUGAUCAUCUUGAUAAUCAAGAUGAUAAUCAAGAAACGGGGACCUUGGUUUAUGCCUUGUUUGUUCCUUGACUACGUUGUUUAUGCCUUAGAACUGUCCAUAUUCUUUGCAUGUGCCUAGAAUGAUAUAAAAAAACAGACUGGAAUAAAUUAAACCCACUUCAGCACUCAUUGGGGCCAUACUAUAAUGUUGUCUAAUUAUCUUGUUUUCCUUUAAUCCUCGCAUCUUCCCUUGAGUCCCUGUUGACUGAGCUGGCUUGGUCAGGCGGCACCCUCAAUGCUGGAGCUUGAGUAAGAGAGGUUCAGUGAAGGACACCAUGAGGGUGAGAGGAGCGGGGAGGAAGUGCACACAAAAGAAAAUAAAGAAAAUUUGGGCCAGCAGUGAGUAAACCCUGUAAAAAUGGGGCAGAGUAAUGGUAGAAUGUUUUUGUUAGAUACGCUAAAGUCAAGAGGAGGUCAGGCGAUACCUGCUUCCUCUCUGGUUCCCACUGGGGAAAUGCUUAGUCCUGGUUCUGGGUCCCCUAAGCAGGAUAUCUGAGUCCCUUUGGUGGGACAUCUAGUUCUCUUCCUUCUCUGUCUAUUGUCUGUCCUUGGCAUGCCUGUCUGUCUACAUCUGUCUGUUUAUGUCUAUGGUUUCAUCUUUGUUGCUUGAUUGUUGCUCUGUGCUUCAUAUUCAAAAGAAAAAAUGGUUAAAACUUUAUCUGCUGGAACAUUUGGGUUCAGCAAGUGUCAAGGUGCUCCUCCCAUGAAGUUAAAGCUGGAAAAAAUAAGAAAAUUUUGUCUGUCUAAUCUAAAUAUGUAAAUAAUGUGUAUAGCCACUUCAUGUUUGUUUCUGACUGGUUGUAAAUGUAUAAAUAUGUUAUUCAUGUCUUGGUUAUAGAAUAUUGGCUUAUAAGUUAUCGGGUAUGGUUAAAAAAUAUAUCAUUAAUAAACAGAAAAUCGGCUUAAAACUGGUAACUCAGGAUUGGAAUCACUCUGGGCAACAACACAUGGCAGGAGCCAACCCAGGGGAACAGGUCUCUAAAGAUACCUCUAAAUUAGGAUAAUAUUUUAUGUAAUUCCUAUCCUAGAAACCAGAUUUAUAAAAGAUAGGAUUUAAAACAAUGUUUCUUUAAUGAAGUAUGAAAAGCUGCACCAUCAUGCAUUCAUAUACCAGACCUGGGAGCCAGACUUUGUAAAAUGAAAACAGUGUGCUUGGUAUUGCUUUUAAAGAGACUGGAUUAUUUAUUUACACUGUUAAAAAUUGGAUUUUGCCUUUCAAAAUUAUGGUUGUAUUCUAUGAUUUCACUCUUAAAAAUGCUUUAUUUUGAUAUUACAAAAGGAACUGUUAAAAAUUAUAGUUGAAUAUGUACAAAGCUAAUGGAACAUUGGCAGUUUACAAUUCAAUCACAAGCUCAAGAUUUUAAUUUCUCUUUGGCUGUCCUCUGAAUAUAAGCUUUAAAAUGCCUGUUAUCAUGCUAACAACAUCUCUGUUACAGGGAAUGAUGGGACAAACCCAUGGAGCUCUAAAAUACCAGUUACAUAAAACAAAAAAAGAGGGAGUUGUAUAUUCCUUCACCACAAAAUUUUAUUUUGAAUUUUUGGACCUUAGAUGCCAAGGGGCUCUCUGCUAUUGUCUAUGGCAUCCUACAACUCAGCAUACUUAUGCUCAGGUGCAAUGGAAGGAUCCACUUACUGGCAUAUGGUAUGGUCCAGAUCAGGUAUUAAUAUGGGGAAGAGGGCAUGUUUGUGGGUUUGUUUUUGUUUGUUUGUUUUUUCAGGAUGCUGAAGGAGCAUGGUGGCUUCCAGAGUGACUGGUGAGACAUGCUGAUGCUGGGACAAAGAAUGAUGCUGACUGUGAGCUUGCUGAGUGCCCUGACACUGGUGACAGGGAAACUGUAUUAGGCAUACAUUCUUGACCCACUACUGAUACAUCCACCAGUGUGGUCCAGACUGGAGAUUCUUGUGGCUUGUAAUAAUUCUCAACUUCUUGGAUCUCCUUGGACAAGGGAGUCAACUUAUAAUAAGACCACGACUUUCAAUGCGCUUUGUGACAGCAUUCCUGUUUCCUUUGUGAAGAAUAAUAUGAAUGAUGGGUGUAUUUCUGUGCUUCCUCAAAUUUGGAAGAAAAAGAUUUCACAAACUGUAACUCAGAGCAUAGAGAUGGGCAUGCCUAAAUAUUAUGAGGGAUCUACCCCUGAUCCUCAUGAGGUGAUCAUGGUCUGAACCCACAGAGAAUGUGGAUAUGGCAUUUACCAAAACUGUUAAAAGGAAAGAACGUUAUAAUCAACCCACAACUUGAUUUACAUUAAUCAAGUAAUAUGUGAAUUAUUGAUUGGGCAGGGAAUCAAUCAAACAUUAGACAAAGGAGAUGUCCAUAGGUCUUUGGCAAUCAGAUUCAGGUUAUUUUCAACUGCAUAUUUGGAAAUUAGCUGCAGCUCUCUUUGAAGUUAUGUUAGAAAUAGAAAAAAUUGAGACAGGAUCUGGAUUUCGAAUAAGUGUUAGUGAAUGUGUUAAGGCUCCUAGUCUUUUAUUAAUUGGUCACAUUUAAAUUACUUUUGUUUCUUCUACGGUAUUUAAUGUAACGGUAUUUAAUUUAACACUUUCUAAUUGUGUUAGUGUAUUGAAAUCUAGCAUGUCUGUUAUGGUGGUCUAUUAAAUAGCUUUUGUUUUAGUGUCUUAUAAGUAUAAUAAGACCUUGGUAAUCUGAAAAAAGCUUACAAAUAUUGGAAGAAGUGAGUCAGGAUUUAAGCAGAAGAAAGAGGGUAGUGGGACAUUAAUAGCUAGUGCCACUGCUUCUGCAAUUGCUUUGCUCCAAGAAGUUAGGACAGCAACUUUUGUUAAUCACUUAGAAAAAAAAAAGUUACUAAUGCUCUUACUAUUCAAGAAGAUGUACUUGGGCACUUGGAACAAUGAAUUGAUAUUCUCUAUAAUACUAUUCAAAUUAUUGGAGAGGAGGUUCAGAAUUUAAGAGUAAGAAGCCAUCUUGAGUGUCACACUAAAUACCAAUCAAUUUGUGUCACUUCUAAAAUUUACAAUGACAGUCACUAUAAUUGGGAGAAAAUUCAAAGCCACUUGCAGGGUAUUUGGCAUAAUUCUAACACCUCUCUGGAUUCUUUAGCUUUGCAUACCAAGAUUGUGAAUUUAUAGAAUGCUAUGCUGCUGAGCUUUGAUGCUGCAGAUACUGCUGAAAAAAGUUAUUCAUGGAUUAAGGUCAGUAUUUCCAUCCUAAUCAAGCUUCAAGAACGACUUAUAUAGUUUGAUCAAAUUGGCCUUUCUUGUCCUGGGAAUACUUUUAUUCCUGCCCAUUUUGAUAAAACUUGCCUUUAACAACAUCAACAAGCUAGUGACCAAAAUACAUGGCUUGAAACUUAAAAUGAAUCCCCAGACAAAGCCACUAAUGUAACAGGCUGGUAGUCAAUGACAGGCAAGAUUCUGCAGAGAACCUUACCAGCCUAAGACAUAAAUGCAUUGACUUGGAUAAUGCAUUUUCAAUAACGGGUAAUUAAGGUAUCGUCAGAACAACCUAGGAUAGAUACAGUCUUGUUUAUGAAAUAUGGGGAGAUAUGGAGAGCUCUAGGUGCCACUUCUAGGAAACUGGAAAGAAUAUUUGUCAUUGGACAGGAAAUAAGCUCAAGAAAAAUACAGCCAAGGAACGUAUUCCUUGUAUCCCGAUCAUCUUAAUGAGUCCCUAGGAACAGGAACCUUUGUUCGUGCUUUGUUCCUUGACUACUUUGUUUAUGCCUUAGAACUGGUCAUAUUCUUUGCAUGUACCUAAAUGAUAUAAAAACAGACUGGAAAAAAAAUAAAUCUGCUCCAGCACUCUGGGGUCAUGCUA